rnacentral:rRNA from 1 species
CUGACGAGUGGCGGACGGGUGAGUAAUGCUUGGGAAUCUGGCUUAUGGAGGGGGAUAACUACGGGAAACUGUAGCUAAUACCGCGUAGAGUCGAGAGACGAAAGUGCGGGACCGCAAGGCCGCAUGCCAUAAGAUGAGCCCAAGUGGGAUUAGGUAGUUGGUGGGGUAAAGGCCUACCAAGCCUGCGAUCUCUAGCUGGUCUGAGAGGAUGGCCAGCCACACUGGAACUGAGACACGGUCCAGACUCCUACGGGAGGCAGCAGUGGGGAAUAUUGCGCAAUGGGGGGAACCCUGACGCAGCCAUGCCGCGUGAAUGAAGAAGGCCUUCGGGUUGUAAAGUUCUUUCGGUAUUGAGGAAGGUUGAUGUGUUAAUAGUACAUCAAAUUGACGUUAAAUACAGAAGAAGCACCGGCUAACUCCGUGCCAGCAGCCGCGGUAAUACGGAGGGUGCGAGCGUUAAUCGGAAUAACUGGGCGUAAAGGGCACGCAGGCGGUUAUUUAAGUGAGGUGUGAAAGCCCCGGGCUUAACCUGGGAAUUGCAUUUCAGACUGGGUAACUAGAGUACUUUAGGGAGGGGUAGAAUUCCACGUGUAGCGGU